UUAACACAUGCAAGUCGAGCGAUGAAGUUUCCUUCGGGAAACGGAUUAGCGGCGGACGGGUGAGUAACACGUGGGUAACCUGCCUCAUAGAGUGGAAUAGCCUUCCGAAAGGAAGAUUAAUACCGCAUAAUGUUGAAAGAUGGCAUCAUCAUUCAACCAAAGGAGCAAUCCGCUAUGAGAUGGACCCGCGGCGCAUUAGCUAGUUGGUGGGGUAACGGCCUACCAAGGCGACGAUGCGUAGCCGACCUGAGAGGGUGAUCGGCCACAUUGGGACUGAGACACGGCCCAGACUCCUACGGGAGGCAGCAGUGGGGGAUAUUGCACAAUGGGGGAAACCCUGAUGCAGCAACGCCGCGUGAGUGAUGAAGGUUUUCGGAUCGUAAAGCUCUGUCUUUGGGGAAGAUAAUGACGGUACCCAAGGAGGAAGCCACGGCUAACUACGUGCCAGCAGCCGCGGUAAUACGUAGGUGGCGAGCGUUAUCCGGAUUUACUGGGCGUAAAGGGAGCGUAGGCGGAUGAUUAAGUGGGAUGUGAAAUACCCGGGCUCAACUUGGGUGCUGCAUUCCAAACUGGUUAUCUAGAGUGCAGGAGAGGAGAGUGGAAUUCCUAGUGUAGCGGUGAAAUGCGUAGAGAUUAGGAAGAACACCAGUGGCGAAGGCGACUCUCUGGACUGUAACUGACGCUGAGGCUCGAAAGCGUGGGGAGCAAACAGGAUUAGAUACCCUGGUAGUCCACGCCGAAAACGAUGAAAACUAGGUGGGGGGGUUUCAACACCUCCGUGCCGCCGCUAACGCAUUAAGUAUUCCGCCUGGGGAGUACGGUCGCAAGAUUAAAACUCAAAGGAAUUGACGGGGACCCGCACAAGUAGCGGAGCAUGUGGUUUAAUUCGAAGCAACGCGAAGAACCUUACCUACACUUGACAUCCCUUGCAUUACUCUUAAUCGAGGAAAUCCCUUCGGGGACAAGGUGACAGGUGGUGCAUGGUUGUCGUCAGCUCGUGUCGUGAGAUGUUGGGUUAAGUCCCGCAACGAGCGCAACCCUUGUCGUUAGUUACUACCAUUAAGUUGAGGACUCUAGCGAGACUGCCUGGGUUAACCAGGAGGAAGGUGGGGAUGACGUCAAAUCAUCAUGCCCCUUAUGUGUAGGGCUACACACGUGCUACAAUGGCUGGUACAGAGAGAUGCAAUACCGCGAGGUGGAGCCAAACUUAAAAACCAGUCUCAGUUCGGAUUGUAGGCUGAAACUCGCCUACAUGAAGCUGGAGUUACUAGUAAUCGCGAAUCAGAAUGUCGCGGUGAAUACGUUCCCGGGUCUUGUACACACCGCCCGUCACACCAUGAGAGUUGGCAAUACCCGAAGUCCGUGAGCUAACCGCAAGGAGGCAGCGGCCGAAGCUAGGGUCAGCGAUUGGGGUGC
rnacentral:rRNA from 1 species